UGACAAUAUAUUAAAUUUAAAAACUGUAAAUUUUAAAAUUUAAUAAAUCAUAUUGUUUG
rnacentral:tRNA from 1 species